rnacentral:rRNA from 1 species
AACGAACGCUGGCGGCAUGCCUAACACAUGCAAGUCGAACGAGACCUUCGGGUCUAGUGGCGCACGGGUGCGUAACGCGUGGGAACCUGCCCUUAGGUUCGGAAUAACUCCCCGAAAGGGGUGCUAAUACCGGAUAAUGUCUUCGGACCAAAGAUUUAUCGCCUUUGGAUGGGCCCGCGUUGGAUUAGCUAGUUGGUAGGGUAAAAGCCUACCAAGGCGACGAUCCAUAGCUGGUCUGAGAGGAUGAUCAGCCACACUGGGACUGAGACACGGCCCAGACUCCUACGGGAAGCAGCAGUGGGGAAUAUUGGACAAUGGGCGAAAGCCUGAUCCAGCAAUGCCGCGUGAGUGAUGAAGGCCUGAGGGUUGUAAAGCUCUUUUACCCGGGAUGAUAAUGACAGUACCGGGAGAAUAAGCUCCGGCUAACUCCGUG